GUUGGUUGAAAAUCACCCCCGGCUUUGGCCGUGGCCGCGGGUGAGAUUCGGCGCCUAGAUCCUCCGGGGGCCUCAGCUCACCACGCGCUGCUCUGUGUGCGGCGGUGAAACCCAGGCCCCGACAGGC
rnacentral:snoRNA from 1 species